rnacentral:rRNA from 1 species
UUUCGGUUCCCCUUUUCAAAGGGCCCCGGGGCCAUUAACUAAUGGGGAGGUAACGGCUCCCCAAGGAGGAGUGGUAGCCCACCCGGAGGGGGAUUCGCCCCACUGGGAAUGAACCCCGCCCCCAAUUUUUUGGGGGGGCGCCGUUGGGAUUUUUCCGCAAUGGAGAAAAUCUGAAGGAGACACCCCCCGUUAAUGAUAAAGGUUUUCGGAUCGAAAAGCUCUGUUGUUAGGAAAAACAAGUCCGUUCGAAUAGGGCGGUACCUUGGCGGUACCUAACCAGAAAGCCACGGCUAACUACGUGCCAGCAGCCGCGGUAAUACGUAGGUGCCAAGCGUUUUCCGGAAUUUUGGGCGUAAAGGGCUCGCAGGCGGUUUUUAAGUCUGAGAGAAAGCCCCCGGCUCAACCGGGGAGGGUCAUUGGAAACUGGGGAACUUGAGUGCAGAAGAGGAGAGUGGAAUUCCACGUGUAGCGGUGAAAUGCGUAGAGAUGUGGAGGAACACCAGUGGCGAAGGCGACUCUCUGGUCUGUAACUGACGCUGAGGAGCGAAAGCGUGGGGAGCGAACAGGAUUAGAUACCCUGGUAGUCCACGCCGUAAACGAUGAGUGCUAAGUGUUAGGGGGUUUCCGCCCCUUAGUGCUGCAGCUAACGCAUUAAGCACUCCGCCUGGGGAGUACGGUCGCAAGACUGAAACUCAAAGGAAUUGACGGGGGCCCGCACAAGCGGUGGAGCAUGUGGUUUAAUUUGAAGCAACGCGAAGAACCUUACCAGGUCUUGACAUCCUCUGACAAUCCUAGAAAUAGGACGUUCCCUUCGGGGGCAGAGUGACAGGUGGUGCAUGGUUGUCGUCAGCUCGUGUCGGAGAUGUUGGGCUAAGUCCCGCAACGAGCUCAACCCUUAUCCUGGGCAGCCAGCACUCUAGAGGGCAAUCCAGGUCAGAACGAACGCUAGAGUUUGAUCAAGGUCAGAACGAACGCUAGAG